AACGAACGCUGGCGGCAUGCCUAACACAUGCAAGUCGAACGAGACCUUCGGGUCUAGUGGCGCACGGGUGCGUAACGCGUGGGAAUCUGCCCUUGGGUUCGGAAUAACUCGCCGAAAGGCGUGCUAAUACCGGAUGAUGUCGUAAGACCAAAGAUUUAUCGCCCAGGGAUGAGCCCGCGUAAGAUUAGGUAGUUGGUGAGGUAAAGGCUCACCAAGCCGACGAUCUUUAACUGGUCUGAGAGGAUGAUCAGCCACACUGGGACUGAGACACGGCCCAG
rnacentral:rRNA from 1 species